ensembl:lncRNA
GUAGAUCGUAGAUCAGUCAAUUCUUAACUUAAAGACUUAAAACUCAGGAUUCUGUAAGUUUCUAUGUCAGUCAAGACAUGUGUUGACUUAUAGCUUCCUGUGCCAACCGGAAGUGCCUUUAAUUGGGUCACACUGUCUGUUUUGAAGGGUUAGAAAAGUCACAUCUCUCCAAAACUUCAUAUGUGUGACUAGGUAACCCUCCUAAACUGUAAAUCAGUCAUUUCCCCCAGGAGAUGUCAAAGAAAAGCUCUCAUACACACACACAGCAAGGAUGGAGUGACAAAGUGCGGUACUUAAAGUCACAGAGAGCAGGCAAUGGCAUUACCAUAAUCUCUAGGCCGUGCCGAGUUCAACGAGAUGCCCCGCUUGACCGUAGCUCGUUCUGAGUGCAGCGACCUUGAAAAAAAGAAGGCCCAAAAUGAAGCCUGCCCCACAAUGUCAUUUGAUUUUGGGUGGCAGUGAGAGAACCGUUAGGGUGAGAAGCUCAAUUCGACCUCAGGUACGUUCCUAAGGUCCUCCCGAUCCGUGCAAGCCUAACCUUGACCCUGUGGCAUUAACCCUUAACAGUUAAAAGAAGGUGUUUACAUCAAACAGUUUGCAUUGACUUCUCUCCCCAUAGGAAUACAUUGCCUGCACCCCUAAAUUCAACCUGAAGCCUAUAUGGGUUAUGAAUGCCGUAUGAACCUGUCUUCGGUAACAGUCCAUCAGACCACUAUGAGGUCUACCUGUGUCGAUU